AAUUUGCUAAAGGGUGAUAUGCUUAUGAUCUUAUGGAUGGAAGCCCUAGAGUUCAAUUGCCAGGACUUUUUUCACAAGAGUUAGGAUCAGCUGGCCCCGAGUGCAAAGAACUUCAAGAAACAACAAAGAGUUGUUGAUGGAUAAUUCAGCCGGCUUGCUUCUCUGUUUGCCAAUUGUUUGGAGCUACGAGGUGUCCUAAAUCUCUAGUGCAAAAACUAUAGCACUGGAUGUGUUGCCCUUCAGAGGUGGUGCCGGAAGGAUCAGGGGCGAAGCCAACAUAGAGAAGGAGGCGAUUGUGAUCGCAGCUAAGGGAAGCAAAAGCACGUGGAGGGGCAUUCCUCAGCCUACUGGUACAUGUCAUUCUUCCAGCAAGCGGCGCCAGUUCCAAAAUGAAGAUUUGCUUAAUUGUGAAAGGAUGUUUUGUCUCAAACUCUAUAUGGUCCAAGAUAUACAAUCAUUUCUUGAAAA